rnacentral:misc_RNA from 1 species
GAUGAAGAACGCAGCGAAAUGCGAUACGUAAUGUGAAUUGCAGAAUUCAGUGAAUCAUCGAGUCUUUGAACGCACAUUGCGCCCCCUGGUAUUCCGGGGGGCAUGCCUGUCCGAGCGUCAUUGCUGCCCUCAAGCACGGCUUGUGUGUUGGGCCUCCGUCCUCCUCCCGGGGGACGGGCCCGAAAAGCAGCGGCGGCACCGCGUCCGGUCCUCGAGCGUAUGGGGCUUCGUCACCCGCUCUUGUAGGCCCGGCCGGCGCUUGCCGACACAUCAAUCUUUUUUCCAGGUUGACCUCGGAUCAGGUAGGGAUACCCGCUGAACUUAAGCAUAUCAAUAAGCGGAGG